ensembl:lncRNA
CUGCAUGCUAAACAAACCACCACACGCUCGGCCUCUUGGUGUCAGCUCAUUCAUCUCACUGUGGCUCAGCUUAACUUUCUGUUAGAAACUACUUUUCAGUAGCCACCUGAUGAGCGUAUCCAAGUCUCUCUUAUCUUCCUGAAAGCAUCUUUCGGUUUUUAGCUUCUUGCCUUAUAACUUUAGUGGGAUUGAAUUCUGCAGCACAUUGAGACUCAGAGUGGAGCUGGAAUUUCAUCUUCUUGUCUGAGAAUUAACACAAGUCCAGAGAGUGAACUGCUGACUACUGUUCACCUCCUGAAACUUCAAAAAGAAAUGUUUGUUGAGCUUCAAUCAAUUACAUAUACACAAGGUUAUUAUGGAUGGACUAACACAGAGAGCUCUACAUUCAGACUUAGGAUGGUCUUCUGAAAGACACUGAAUGCCCUUCCUCUAACAUCUUCAUGUGCAUAUAGUGGAAAUGAAUGACAUAGAUCCACCUCAUAGGAAGCUCAACACUGUACUGGACUGAGCAUACAGAGCAGAUCUCACAAUGCUUUCAGCAAGGCUGUGUCAAGGCUCCUAGGAAAACCCAGUGAUGGCUGUCUUCAGUGAAGUGAAAUAACUGCAGCACUUGUGAAGACUUGGAAACAGCUUUGGCAACCACCUCCCAGUAAGCGAAGAAGAAUACACAAUCACAACAAGUGGAGGGGAUUAGAGUAAUUAAGAUUUUUAAACAGACUUAUAGUCUUUUUUGUGCCUCAAGUGUUUUUUUGCUUGACACAAAAUAAUUUUGUCCUGAUUAUUUGAGAAGUAUCACACAUGUGAAAGUGCAAAUGAAAAAAGAAGACCAGAGGGGGAAGAAAAAGAGAGGAGUGAAUUAAUAGAAACCUAGCAUUGCUAGGUAUUUGAUAUUAUUUAUUGUAGUGGACUCCUUUAUAAUUUCAUAUAUUAUGUGAGAGAAAAAAACCUCCUUUAUAUGACUGGAAAGAAGACACAGAGUGUCACAAUACUGUGGAGCUUAUUUUUGGCUACAACUUGUCUUGAUUUUAUUUAGCCAUCUAAAAGUUACACCCUUAGCCUGAAGGUGUGAGCCAUAUCACAUACUGAGACAUUGAUCUUUGCAGGAGAUCUGUGCUAUGCUGAACUCCCAUCUUUGUAGAAUGGACUUGGAUGUCCGUCUUUUAGACAGAAACAGAUGCUGACAAAAUGAAAAAUAUAUACAUCCGAGACCCUUUGGUCUAACGUACACAUUAAUCUAUACAUCAUUUUUUUCCUACAUAAAUUAAAUCCUGGUAAUUACUCAAGCCAUCUUUCCAGUGUCUUGUGCCGUACAUUUUUAUUCCUGUGGUUUUUAGAUCAUUACUGUCCAUUAACUCCUGAAAUAUCAGAGAGAAUGUUAAAAACUAUCUAUUACUUCUCUAAAAGGAAAAGAAUGUUAUGAAAACAAACUGUGGCUUUUUAGGACUUUUUGCAAUUUCCUGAGGCUUUUUCUUGAACUGGGGAACAUCAAGUCCUUUCUCUCCAGCAAUUCGUGGGAACACUAGACUACGCGUGAGAGAUUGGUUAGUUUAAGCAUCCAUUAGAAAGGGAGAGACAGAUUAAUACAAUCAUCUGGUUUCAAAAUGUCUUUCGAAAGAGAGUUGCUGUCUCUUAAGUAUACCCUGGAUUUGAAGCAUGCAUUGUCAGCCAGUGUUGACAUAGAUAUGUUUGAAAUGCCAUCUAGAAAUGACUACAGUGAUUGUAUUAGAGGUUUGUUUACCACUGACUUGGGAGAAUGACUUUCCUCGCCUCCCUUAAAAAGAAUUCCACAUCCUAUAUGAGAAAUGAAAUAAGGCUGUUCACUUUUUGUAGCUCUUUAUAUUUCCCACUCACCCUUUCCUAUGUCCUCUGCAGUCACCAGAGGACUGUGUCAUCAAACUCAAGACAAGGGCUAGACAACCACGGGUAAUAGUGGUAAGAAUCAGUUGUCAGCCAAACAGAUGUUUUGGCUACCAAGCAGUGCCUGCUUUUUUUAGCAACAGCAACAUAAUACUGUUGUGUAUUGGGAUUGCAAUUUGCUUUACCCAGAUAUUCGUGCUGUGUUGCACUGUUACAUUGCCACCUAUUUCACAGUUUUAAAUGGUAUGUUACAUUUUCUCUUGUACAGGUAAAACUUCGCAUUGUUGUUUCCUGAAUAUCGCUGUACUGAUUUCAGGAACUUAGCUCAAGAUCAGGCUAAGUUAAAAUCUUAUGCUCUGGAACACAUAAAUCCCCUUCUCACUGUGACAUGGUUUUAAAAUGUUCUACAUGCACCGUAUAUGCUGUUAUUCUAAUAAUUAAGGAAAACUUUUAAGCAGAUGCUGCUCGGAAAAACUCCCAUGUGAUCCAGAUGGUGUGAUUUCUCUUUUUCACAGCACACUAUUGAGAAAUAUGUUUUCUUUCAUUUUUGCACUCGUAAUAGGUUCACUUUCCAGAGCUUCACUAGCUUGUUUACGUCCAGUUGUGCAAAGUCAUGCUAUAGCACAUCUACUGCUUCCUUGUUAUUCAGAGGGUCAGUUAUUCUCUUAAAAAAUGAAAUGAAAUUAAUGUGGCAUGAUUUUACUCUUGACAAAAAUGUGGACUGCUUGUUAUCUUGCUAUUGCCCAGAUGCUCUAAGACAGACUGAAUAGCAAAAGUUCAGAAAGAUCAGACACCAGUUGGGUAUUUGAAGUUGGCAAAUCCAUAAUGAUGGUCUUCUUUUUUUUUUUUUUUUUUCCUUUAAGAGGGUUAGAAAACGGAAGAAUAAAAUUGUCCUUCUUAGGCCCUUUGAGACCUCACUUGUUUUCCAUGAUCCAUGAGUUCUUAAUGAUAAACGUUUAAUGGUUCAGAUUGUUUUAGCUAUUUCCUUAAAUACUCCAGGGUAAAUUUCCUUACAG